GCUCUGUGCGCAGGCUCCGGGGCGGCGCGGGCAGCGAGUGCGCAGGCUCCGGCCCCCCACCCCACUCCCGAGGCUCGGUCUAGGCCGCCAACUUUCUUGAGGGGCCGGCUCCGGGCACGCCCGACUUCUGGAAGGGUCGGUUCCAGUGCGAGCACCUCCUGGGGAGAAAACCCGGAACGUUGGGCUCUCAGGACAGGAGCUGAUGUUCCAGCAGCAUCGUGGGCUGAUUUCCUCAGGGCCCGGGAAGACUGUGGAAAUGAGCGCUGCAGGGAGAGCUCUUUGAUGUCUCCUGUGGAUCUCACAGCGUGCUGCACAGACACGGGACACUGAGAGUGGCUGAAUAGCCCCGGACACGUAUACACCUGCAGCUGAGGGGAUGUCGUUUAUCAGUUACACUUCAAUAACAAAAACCAAUGAGAAAGCUUCCUGUAAAGGGAUCAGAGCCAUCGCCAGGAUGUGUUAUUAAGUAAAAAACAAAGCAAAGUGAAGAAGAAUGUACUGUGCUAUUUUGUGGUCAAGCAAAUCAGUAAAUUUGCUGGGAAUCACGGAGCAGAAGGGCAUUACAACUACAGUAGGAGAGGAGAGGGUGGGGGAAGCCUGUGGUCUGGGUGGGUGGUGGAGACAUGUGUGUGAAUACAGACAGGUCUGUUUGGGGCAGUGACACUGCCAUCUGCCCCCUGGGAAUCACGGCUGACGUACCCCACAGCCUCACUCGGGGAGGCGGGUCCCUGUCACAUGAAACAGGGCGGAGGCGCUGGUCUCCACUGUCCAUGGUCUGGAUCACGUGUAUGGCAGCUCUGAGUGCUUGUAAGGACACAGAUAUGGGAAUCAGGUUCCCGCGGUCCCAAUCCUGACUCCCCGCUCACUGCUGCUCACAUCCACAUUCCGGGCCUCAGUGUCCCUGUCUGUGUUCUGCAGACCCACCUAGCGAGUGGCGAGUGUAAAUGAGCUGACACAUCUGAGGGACUCUGCAUGGUGUCUGUCCCGCGUGAAGUUCUUCAGCAAUGAGUCUUAUUAUUGCUUCCCCCCCCCACUUUUUUUUUUUUUUUUAAUCACUGUGUUUUUCUUAUUUGAGGGCAGAAACAAGUGCUUGUG